GACGAACGCUGGCGGCGUGCUUAACACAUGCAAGUCGAACGGAAAGGCCCUGCUUUUGUGGGGUGCUCGAGUGGCGAACGGGUGAGUAACACGUGAGUAACCUGCCCUUGACUUUGGGAUAACUUCAGGAAACUGGGGCUAAUACCGGAUAGGAGCUCCUGCUGCAUGGUGGGGGUUGGAAAGUUUCGGCGGUUGGGGAUGGACUCGCGGCUUAUCAGCUUGUUGGUGGGGUAGUGGCUUACCAAGGCUUUGACGGGUAGCCGGCCUGGGAGGGUGACCGGCAACAUUGGGACUGAGAUACGGCCCAGAAUCCUACGGGAGGCAGCAGUGGGGAAUAUUGCACAGUGGGCGGAAGCCUGAUGCAGCAACGCCGCGUGCGGGAUGACGGCCUUCGGGUUGUAAACCGCUUUCGCCUGUGACGAAGCGUGAGUGACGGUAACGGGUAAAGAAGCACCGGCUAACUACGUG
rnacentral:rRNA from 1 species